GGUAAGAUGGCUGAUAGUUAAGUGGCGGCUUGUAGUCCCGUGAAGAGAGGUUCGAAUCCUCUUCUUAUCA
rnacentral:tRNA from 1 species